rnacentral:lncRNA from 1 species
CCCGUCACAAAGGGCUGCUUUAACGAAGAUGUCGCAUUUUAAGGCUAUAAAAAGAAGCUUUCGUUUAUAUCCAGCCUUUCCUCAGCCCCCAAAUACCCCUGAGUUUGAAGUAACCAGAAGAAAGGGUGGGGGUUAGGUUGUCUUUUAUUUUCCUUGUCUUCAUAAUAAUUACAUUUUAAGAUUGCUUCAUAGCCAAAUCCUCCAUAGUUGUUGUUUUUUAAACUUUAUUGCAAAAUAAUUUACAUAUAACACAGACAAACGAAAACAAUAACCUCAAUGACAACUAAACAUUAACUAACAACACAUCGUCUAACAUCACACACACUUGACUUCCAAUUCACCUCAUGGUGCUUUCUACAUAUUCUUAACCUUUACGCAUUUCCUGUUAUAUCUGUUACAUAUCCAGAAAAGUUUCUACAUUUUUAGUUUCCCUUAAUAUUCAAGAUUCAAUCUAGACCUGUCAGGAGAUUUGCAUUUUCACAAUACUGUAUUAUUUUAGAUAUUCUUUAAAUGUUAUCCAUUCUUUACACACUUUCUGGUUUGAGUUUCCUCUUAUUCUCCCAGUCAUUUUUGCAAGUUCCAUGUAUUCUGUCUGCUUCACCGGCCAGUCAAGCUUUGUAAGAAUUGAGUCACAUUUCCAGUUUUUUGCUACUAAGAUUCUAGCCACCAUAGUUGCAUACAUAAAGAUCCUCCAUAGUUUUUAGGUACUUUUAGGGGAAUGUGCAUUAAGUUGCAGGUACCCCAUAUAACGCGGGUGGCGCUGUGGGUAAAACCUCAGCACCUAGGGCUUGCCGAUCGCAUGGUCGGCGGUUCGAAUCCCCGCGGCAGGGUGAGCUCCCGUCUUUCGGUCCCAGCGCCUGCCAACCUAGCAGUUCGAAAGCACCCUUAAGUGCAAGUAGAUAAAUAGGUACCGCUUUAUAGCGGGAAGGUAAACGGCGUUUCCGUGUGCUGCGCUGGUGCUGGCUCGCCAGAGCAGCUUCGUCACGCUGGCCACGUGACCCGGAAGUGUCUCCGGAUAGCGCUGGCCCCCGGCCUCUUAAGUGAGAUGGGCGCACAACCCUAGAGUCGGACACGACUGGCCCGUACGGGCAGGGGUACCUUUACCUUACCCUAUAUAACUAGGGUUGCACUUUGAUUCUUCCUCUAUAAUGGUUCGUGUGUCUUUAGUAGAUGCACAGUAGGCAGAAAUUCAGCAGGUGGAACCCUUUUUAUUUUAUUUUCCCCUCUUGUGCUGCUUUUCCAUAGGGUGCGUUAAGGGACUGGUAAGCUGGGGGUUGUGUAGGUGAAGUGUGGGGUUCACGUCACUUGCCACAUCUGCUCCAUUGCUCACAGUAAGAGGCAAAAUUUGGGGUGAAGGAAGCACUGCUGCGUGUACCUGCUUUUUAUGGAGCAAUCCAAGCAAUCAAGUCAAUAGUAUGUCACAAACAGAGAAAAUGUGCACUGGUCACAGAGCAAAGGUUCGAGAUUACUCAUACAAGUUAGCCAAGUCACACUGUAAGGUGACCAAGAAGCAAAAAAUAAAAAUUCACAGUGGGGUGGGGGCAUAUACUUCGCAAUCACUCUUUAUAAAGAAACUCUUUCUAUGGUCACCCCACUUAACUAUUGUAGCCUGCAUGUGUGCGUGCACACACACACACAUGCAUAAAAAUUUAUUUGUAUAUAUUUAUGCAAAAUAAAAGAAAUGAUCUAUUUCUUAUAUUUUAUUCAUUUAGAAUGCUUACGCUCUGUUCUAUAGCCCACUCGAAGCAGCUCACAAAAAAUUGCAUGAUGCAAACCAUAUUCAAAAUGAUUUCCAAUAUAAUCAGAAAUAGCAUGGUAUAUAUAUGUGGUUAAUUCUUGCAAUUCUUGGUCUUCCCUGUCAUCACCAGGUAGGAAGUCAACUCUGAGGACAUCUGAGGCCAGGGAAGUUGUUGUUAAGAUGUACCUUCAUCAUCCCAUGAUGGAGGCAAGUCAUUGGCAGUUGCCAGGCAACUGUUCCGAUGAAGACCCUCUGAGUAUCUAUUACAUAUUUCAUCCUAAUCUUUGUAUAGUGGAUAAAGCAUUAAAUGAUGGUGUGCAACAUUCUGGAGGGAAUAGUGGAGUUAUAUAUACAGUAAAAUUGAAUUUUUAAGUGCCUGAUCUUUAUAUUCUACCGAGUUUUUACAUUUGCCUCUUGUGGUGGGGGGUUACCACCCAUCCACACUUAUUACAGAGUAAUAUUUGUAGAAUAUAACAUCUAGGGACUACCUGAUCUCAGAUGAACCACCACAGGAAAUGUGCUUUCUGGUCGCUAGGGGAAAGGAAGGGCAAGCUAUAAGUAUUCCAAUGAUUAGAAAAUAAGAAAGAAGCAGAAAAGUGCACUAGAUGGGAAGGGAAAUCAGCAGCACUUUGGGGUUCUAGGGAUUCCUAUUUCCUGGUGUCCAAACAAUUCACCUAACUAUCACAGCUCUGACUUCAUACAUUAGCACAAAACACUGACAGGCAGGAGUAGGCAAACUGGCGCAUUUCACAGAAAUCACUUGGAGGGGUACCUGCACUUUUUUUUCUGGGAGGGCUAGAGAUUUGCUUUAAAAGAAGAAGAAAAAGGCUGCUCAUGGUUUCCAAGGUCUUUGCAGGUGACAUUUUAAUCUCUGCACUACAGUAUGCUGGUGUCACAAUGGUAGUUAAGCUGCAAUAAUCAAAAUGCAAUCAUCUCCAUAAAUGCAAAAGGGAAGAUUUUGUAAUCUUAAAAAACCACUCAUUCCUCUAAUAUAGUUUUUAAUAAAAUGAGAAAAUAAAGUAGCUCACUUCAGUACUCCAAACAAAGCACUAGGUGGCACCUAUUUCCAUCGUUUUUAGUCAAUACUCAGCGCAAUUAACUUCCUCCUGUUUCUUUACAGUAAUCUACCAGUGCACAUAAGAUGCAGAUUAAUCUCUAAAGCCAUCAUUUCAAUUGCUUUAAAGUGAGACCGACAUAGAAAGAUAGUAUAGUGGCAGAGGGGGGUCCUUAAAUCAUUGCACGUUGUAGCAAAAAUGGCUGCUAGCAUGCAGGAAUUAAAUGAAGCUUGAGCCUGUUUUUAAUUAAAUCAUGAACACUUUUAAGUUCUGUGACUUUAAUUCAUGUUAUGGAUUUGUUUACCAGCCAUCCAGACCUAAAUUAGUACUAAUAUAACUAAUGCAUUUAAACAGAAAUCUUGGUUUUCCUUAAUUAUCCUUGUGCCAACAUUUCUAAUUAAAUAGCAUCUUUCGCAACAUUGUCACAAUGAACCAUUUCAAGGGUAAUAAUGAUCCAGAUGGGUAACACAGCAGUGUCGAUUAUUGUCUUCAGGGCAAGUAGAUCAAAGGAAAAUAUAAUAGGAAGAAGACUGGGGAAUCAAAUGUUUGGAGUAUUGAUGGUUUACUCAGCACACCCUGAUGAGGGAUUUCACACAGGAAACAAUUUGUGAGGCCCCAACAGUGUAUUCCUGGGCAACCAGAGAGGGAGAAAUCAAGCAUAUUAUGCAGCUCCUUUCAUACCUCCACUUCACCCCCCUUUAUUCCUCCUUCCUCCUCGUCCUCAACUACCCCUUGCACCACCAUUUCCAUGCCUCCCUUUCUCCUAUUCUGUAGCCCCUUUUGCACACACACACACACACACACACACACACACAUAUUCACCACUACUCCAUUUUUCCUCCCUCCUCUCUCAUUUUUUAAACUCCUCUUUGCAGAGAGACCACCCCAUUUCCAUGCUCCAACCUCUCUCCUGUUUUGCAGCCCUCCUACUUCAGCAGAUCUCUGUGGCUGUAUCUGUUAAGAUGACUAGCAUCUUAAGAAGACACUUGUUAAUUAACUUGUUUAAUUAGGGAAGGUUAAGUGAUGGAUGCUGUACAUCUGAGUGAUUGCUUGUUAAAACACCCAUUCUAAAUUGUUGCAUUGAAUCUGGAACUUCAUGUGGAAGAGAACACCUGGUGCUAGGAGUUAAAUAACCUUUAUAUUUCACACAUGGGACAGAAGAAAAAUGGAAGAGGAAGAGGUUCGAUUAAAGCAGGGAUGGAGGGCUUCUUUCUUACAGGCUUGUUUUUGUGAGCAGGCAACUGGGUGGAUGGAAUUUCCCAAGACUGCCAUCAGCUGUGUCCCAUUCAGAAGUAGACAGCAUUCUCCAGACCCAGGCUGAAGCAGAUUAACAACUGUCAGCAUGCUGUGCUUCACAGAGCUACCAUCAUCUGUUGGUAGCCCCGUGAACUAUAGUGUGACAGUGCAGAUAUAAUAUAGAUCAGUGUUUCCCAAACUUGGAUGUUCUGCUGGUCUACAACUCCCAUCAUCCCUAGCUAGCAGGACCAGUGGUCAGGGAUGAUGGAAAUUGUAGUCCAAAAACAGCUAGAGGCCAAAGUUUGGGGGAAACUGAAAUAAACCUUUUACCUAUGUAUUAUUUUUGAUUGCUACAGGGUUAAUAAUAUGUAAAAACUGCUGAUUCAGUUGUUAUAACUCAUUAUUGUUAUUUAGGUUUCUUAACCACCAUCCAACACAAGGUCCCAAGUGCAGGCCACAGCAGUACAAAAACACAAUAUUAAAUGCAUUGAAAGUAUGGACAAUCAAAAUAAUAAGGUGGUCUCCAAAAACACGCAUAUCUGAUGCCAAAGGCCAGUGUAAAAAUCUUCUGUUCCUUAUCCCCAGGCUGUAAUAAGAGAAGACCUAAGCAGGUCCAGAAGCCAGGGAUUCCAGUACUCCCAGUACUCUGGAUUUUUUGGAGACUAGACCCAGGGGGAAAGUGCUGUCUACACCGCAGUUCUCUGAAUCCCCAGAAAUAGUCUGUUAGAUUAGACCAUGGGUGAAGAAUUAGAUCCAGUUCAGAUGUUGUGUUGUUGUUUAGUCGUUUAGUUGUGUCUGACUCUUCAUGACCCCAUGGACCAGAGCACGCCAGACACUCCUGUCUUCCACUUCCUCCCACAGUUUGGUCAGACUCAUGCUGGUAGCUUCGAGAACACUAUCCAACCAUCUCGUCCUCUGCCGUCCCCAUCUCCUUGUGCCCUCCAUCUUUCCCAACAUCAGGGGCUUUUCCAGGGAGUCUUCUCUUCUCAUGAGGUGGCCAAAGUACUGGAGUCUCAGCUUCAGGAUCUGUCCUUCCAGUGAGCACUCAGGGCUGAUUUCCUUAAGAAUGGAUAGGUUGAUCUUCUUGCAGUCCAUGGGACUCUCAAGAGUCUCCUCCAGCACCAUAAUUCAAAAGCAUCAAUUCUUCGGCGAUCAGCCUUCUUGAUACCACAUCCCAAUGUGGUGCGUGCUCCACAAUCUUUUGAGAGAUGGGCAGGGCUGUGUUGAAACUACACUUCUGAUCCUUCCUUUCUAUCUCCAGGUUUAAUAAAAAAAACCAGGACUGCACAAGAUUCUUCCAUGGCUUCCAAAGAAGAACCUUGCACUGCUUUCUCUGCUGAAAGCGGGGCUUGCAUUCAGUGCUUGCAUUCAGUGCCAAAUGGAAGCCCUACUUGUAGCAGAACGGUCAGGAAUGCCCUGUAAUAGCGCCGAUGGGGCUGCACGUAGGAUAGAGCAUUCCUACCUGUGAAGUAUACAAUUCUGGGAUAGAAAGCCUGACUGGAUAUGAAACUGCUUUCUAUGUCAAUCACUUUAAAAGUAAGUACAAACACCUUAAAUCCAACCCAGAAAAAAAAUAGGGUAGGUAAACAUCAGAAUUCAUAUAGAGCUAGGGUUAUGUAAGGUACGCAGGUGGCGCUGUGGGUUAAACCACCGAGCCUAGGACUUGGCGAUCAGAAGGUCAGCGGUUCGAAUCCCUGUGAUGGGGUGAGCUCCCGUUGCUCGGUCCCUGCUGCUGGCAACCUAGCAGUUCGAAAGCACGUCAAAGUGCAAGUAGAUAAAUAGGUACUGCUCUGGCGGGAAAGUAAAUGGCAUUUCCGUGUGCUGCUCUGGUUCACCAGAAGCGGCUUAGUCAUGCUGGCCACAUGACCCGGAAGCUGUACGCCAGCUCCCUUGGCCAAUAAAGUGAGAUGAGCGCCGCAACCCCAGAGUCGGUCACAACUGGACCUAAUGGUCCGGGGUCCCUUUACCUUUACCUUAGGGUUAUGUAAUAUUGCAGGUAUCAACCUAGCCAUCACAUCUGAGACCCAACUGAAAUUUACACACCGGCUUCAAAGGCAGCUCCACAGACAGUGCAUUACAGUAAUCAAGUCGAGAGGUUGUCAGGGCGCAUACUAUAGUUCUUAGAUUUCUCAUUAAGGAAUCAUCAAUAAACUCUUCUGUUAUGGAGAAAAUAGCAGACCCCCACAUGUUGAGAAAAGAAAAUGGUUAUGUUCUGAAUAAGUACAGUAUUAGGGACGCGGGUGGCGCUGUGGGUUAAAGCCUCAGCACCUAGGACUUGCCGAUCGAAAGGUCAGCGGUUCGAAUCCCCGCGGCGGGGUGCGCUCCCGUCAUUCGGUCCUAGCGCCUGCCAACCUAGCAGUUCGAAAGCACCCUCGGGUGCAAGUAGAUAAAUAGGGACCGCUUACCAGCGGGAAGGUAAACGGCGUUCUGGGUGCUGCACUGGCUCGCCAGAUGCAGCUUGUCACGCUGGCCACGUGACCUGGAAGUGUCUUCGGGCAGCGCUGGCUCCCGGCCUUUAGAGUGAGAUGAGCGCACAACCCUAGAGUCUGGCAAGACUGGCCCGUACGGGCAGGGGUACCUUUACCUUAAGUACAGUAUGUUCAUGAGAUUUGUUUACAAUUAAUGUAAUAUAAGGCUUUUUAAACUAGAGGCUCCAGAAUACCGAUGCAUUUGAUGAUGGGCUAUGGAAAUGUACUGGGAACAUUUUUACUGUUUCUUUCCCUUGCUUCUGGCUGUGAACAUGCAUUCAGAAUUACUGCAGAAUGAAUAAGAGACUCUCAAAAUAUAAAGAAAUGUCCGUUACCAAGGGAUGCUGUGCAAUUGCUAGACUUCACAGUAUCAUAUUGACAAUUGUGAAUGGGGAGUGGGAGGCGCCUAUGACUCAAUCCCUGGAUUUAAAAUGCAGUCCACACUGUGAAAAUGUAUGAGGACCUCCGCCUCUGCAUUGUAAGCCUAUAGAGUCUGGCAUUUAAAAUGCCUACGUUGCUUCCCUCUCAGCUCACAAUGCACUUGGCACAUUCCCUUUUAGCUGGAAACCAAGAGAGCUUUCUAUUCAGUUCCUGACACUGCCUCUAAACAAAAGUUACUCAAAACAGAAAACAACAAAUAAGAAGUUAUCCAAGUUCUAAACUCUGUCUCUGUAGACACACAGAACAAAACAAAAAAGCCAAAUCAAUAAUGUGCUAUUGAUUGUAGAAAACGGCCUUUCUCUCUCUUUCGCUUUUUGGAUGAUCUUUUUCAUUCUUUGUGAUAAUAUAUUUCCCCCCUCUUCCUCAGCAUUUCUUCUUCGUCCUUGAAUUUUAAUCUCUUCUUUAAGCUGCCAGUCAUCAACACACAGUAUUACCGCCCUAUUGUCUGAAAGUGUUUUGAAUCCACAGUGACUAUUUGUUGGCCACUACUGAAAGUGAAGUAUGCCACUCAUGUUUGGGGUAACUAUUCAAGAAGAAACAUGCUACAACAAGAUCAUCAAGCCAAGGAUGAACUGGAUCAAUCCUUUUGUAUCACAAAUCAUCAUGCAGACCACAUUGUAGUUUUCCCACAAGUAGAAAUAAAUGAUUGCCUGGCGCUUUCCUUACAUCCCUUUAGGCAGCAGGCAAAAACAGUCCUCUUCUCCCAGGCCUUUGGCUAAUGAAAAAAUCUAUGGCCUUUUAAACUGUGGGGUGGUGGUAUUGUUAUUUUUUGCUGUUAUGGUAUGUAUUUUUGCGUUUUUAUAUUGUUAACUGCCCUGUGAUCUUUGGAUGAAUGGUGGUAUAAAAAUUUAAUUAAUGAUAAUGAUAAUGAAUUACAUAAAAGAUUUUCUUCCUUUAGGAAAAUUGAUACAUCUAGAUCCAGGCACAGCCCAAGCAAAUUGAGUAGUACGUCCCCGCCACCCCAGGCACAGUUAGGUAAGUUUAGUCUUUGGACUUAAUAGUUACAAGCAUGGAAUUAGAAACUCAACUGGUGUGUAUACAGUGGUGCCCCGCAAGACGAAUGCCUCGCAAGACGGAAAAACCGCUAGACGAAAGGGUUUUCCGUUUUGGAGUUGCUUCGCAGGACGAAUUCCCCUAUGGGCUUGCUUCGCAAGACGAAAAUGUCUUGCGAGUCUUGAUAUUUUUUUUUCGCUUUCCCCCCCCUUUAUCUAAUCUGCUAAGCCUUUAACAGCCUUUAAUAGCCUUUUAGCAGCUAAUCCCCUAAGCCUUUAAGCCUUUAAUAGCCGCUAAACCGCUAAUAGCGCUAAUAGCGCUAAUCCGUCAAUGGGCUUGCUUCGCAAGACGAAAAAACCGCUAGACGAAGACUCUCGCGGAACGGAUUAAUUUCGUCUUGCGAGGCACCACUGUACUAGAGAUCAGGAAAGGUACCAUGUGGACCAAAAGGGCACUAGCAUGGUUAAUAAGCAGAGUCAAAUAAACUACAGUAUUAGAGGCAAGAAGGCUUCCUUCAAAAAGUUAUAGUCUUGUCCAAAGGAAGAGAACAAAAAGGACCACAAACUUUGGCCCAAAGAGUGCAAGCAGACAGUAUGGUGGUUGAGUUUGGAAUCCUAUACUUACUUGGAAGUAAGCCCUAAUAAACUCAAUGAAACAUACUACUGGGUAGACAUGUACAGGAUUACACUAUUAGGAAACCAGCCAAAUGAAUAAGAAAUCUGAACAAUGAACUGUGUUCCUGUUUUAUGCUAGAGUGUCAGGUUGAACUUUUCUCUGGAUACAAAGGGAUUUGGUAGAUUUUGACUGCAAAUUACAACCUUACUAAGCCAUCUUCAUGUUGGUGUGUUUUGUUUGUUUUUAAAAAAACUCGCAGUAUUUAAUGAUGUGUUACUGCGCUACAGAUUUGUACAUAGCAUCAAAUCUAAGCAAUAUUAUUUAGCUAGUCCUGAAUAAAAUCGCUCUUCACACUAGACAUAUAAGGAAGAACAGAUAAUGGUGUUAGCAAUUCAACAACAAGGGUACUUUUAACUUUAAAAUCUUUAAUGAGCACAAUUGAAUCAGGCUCAUUAAUUCCAGUGUCCUGGAGUGCCCACACAAGUCUGUAAAUAUAGCCGUUAGGAAAAUGCACUACUUUUCUUUCAAGCCGCCAUCCCUUUAAAACUAGAUUCCGUAGCAUCUGGUUCUCUUCUAAGAGCUUGUCCAAACCUUCUUCCCAUGGUGCAACAUGAGUAGAAAAGCAAAAGCCAUCACGCAUGGUGUUGCUAAGGAACACUAAUUUGCUAUGGUCAGCAUGAGAUCUGUGUAUUUCUGUUAUAAAAAUCCAAUUCAGAUCUUCUACCAGUCAUUUAAGAAAUGACAUUUAAAAUUUAAAAGCCUUAAGCACGUGCAAUUGUUAAGGCAACAAGGGCCCAUCCCAAGAGACAAGUACCAUCUCCCCCAUUAUAUGUACAGAAACUGACUGCACUUGCAAUUGGAACUUAUUUCAGCGCUGGCACAAUGACACCAUCUUCCACUGCAUCUGAGGACAGACAGCUAGCUUAUGGGCAGGCCAUGUGGCACACACAGCUCCAACUUCCAAUACCUUUCAGGUUUCCCCCAGACCCCAGCAUCUGCUUUCUGAGGUGCCCCAUCACUCUGCUUAUUGGUAGGCUCAGCCCUGAGUUCCACACAUGGGCAUCUGUUGGGGGACAGCAAGGCAGAAAGUUGCCCUCCCUUGAUGAAGUUUAAUUCCCAGGUUUCUUUUUUUUGCCUUCUUUUCAACUAAACUACAGUGUUACCUCAGGUUAUACACGCUUCAGGUUACAGACUCCGCUAACCCAGAAAUAGUACCUCGGGUUAAGAACUUUGCUUCAGGAUGAGAACAGAAAUCAUGCUCUGGCGGCGCAACAGCAACAGGAGGCCCCAUUAGCUAAAGUGGUGCUUCAGGUUAAGAACAGUUUCAGGUUAAGAACGGACCUCCAGAACGAAUUAAGUACUUAACCUAAGGUACCACUGUACUCACAACAGUACAACCUGUCCUUGCAUAAUUCUCUUGAGCUGCAGGGUAGGGAGAAGUGUUGCUUACCACAAUGACUUCCACAAGACCAAUGCUAUCAUGCAGUCAGCGCUGUCUUUAGCAGAUGUGGCACCAGGGUGCAAAUAUCCGCCCAGCGCCCCCAAAUUACCAUGGAUGGGGGGGCAAAGCUGCGCACUGCCAGCCAUCGGGGGGCGCAACUCUCCCCCAUGCCACUGCAGGAUAGUAAUCCCCGCAGAGGCUUGGCUUGGAAGGGAAGCUGCGCACCCGCCAGCCAUAUGGUUGGCGGGGCGCAGCUUCCAGCCUAAGCCUCUGCGGGGAUCGCUCUCCUCCCGUGGAGGCUUGGGAAGGAAGCUGCACACCCACCAGCCAUAUAGUUGGCGGGGUGCAGCUGGUGGGUGUGCAGGGAAAGGGGAGGCCACCGGCAAAGCCGCGCAGCUCCCCCACUCACUGGGGCGCCCCUGAGAGGCCAGCGCCCUGAUGCGACGCACCACUAAGCCCUAUGGGAAAGAUGGCUUUGCAUGCAGUCACAGCUCAGCCCAUUCUGAAGGCUAAAGGUGAGUAACAAAAGUAUAUCCUUCCACUAAAGCAGAGUUAAAACCCAAGGAUGGCUAAUAUGGCCCCCACGGGUGGCACAUUUGCCCUCAGAGACCUUCUAUGGUGUCCACAGGGUUCCCUUUCUCCAUUUCUAUGGUUUGCAAAUGUGCCCAUAGGCCAAAAGGGAUAUUUGCAUUAAAAUAUCAUUAGAUGUUUCUUCCCCACGCUCAGCUGACUUAGCCCUGUACCCACAAAGCCUGUACAAAUAACUAGUUAGCACAACACUGCUGAUUAGUACUUCAUUUGUUAACACUGAGAUACUGUGUGAUGAAUAGAACUGGACAGAGACCCGAGUUCAAAUCCCCAACCAAACAUUAUGGUUGCUGAGUAACCUUGGGCCAGUCACUAGAUGAUAUUUAACACUAGCCCUACGUAGAGUAGACCCACUGAGGUUAAUGGACAUGGCUAACUUAGCUUCAUUAAUUUCACUUGGUCUGCUCUGAGUAAGAUUUAGUUGACUACAACCCAUUCUCUCUCUCUCUCUCUUUCAACCUAACGUACUUCACAGAGUUGUUGUGAGCAGUGGCGUAGCGUGGGGGGUGCAGGGGGGGCCGGCCGCACCGGGCGCAACAUCUGGGGGGGGCGCGCUCGCACUCGCAGCUCUCUGCCCCUACCUGGCUCACUCAUUCUCUCUCACUGCAGUGCUGGCUGUGCGAAUCCGAUCCGAGCCGCUGGGUCGCCGCCCACUGUGGAGGGGGUGGGUGCCAGGCGUGCAGUGCGGAGAGAGAGCGAGGGACUAUCUGGGGAGGGACAGUGCAGCGGCCGCCCAGCGCAGCGCUGAGCGCGGGAGAGAACCACACCAGACCAGACCAGGCAGCAACAAGAAGAAGCUGGCAGCGGCGGCAGGUUAGGGGUUAGGGGGCGCAAAUUACUUGCCUUGCCCCGGGUUAGGGGGCGCAAAUUACUUGCCUUGCCCCGGGUGCUGACAACCCACGCUACGCCGCUGGUUGUGAGGAUAAAAUGGAGGGAAUAACUAGGUAAAUUGCCUCCAGCUCCUUGGGAGAAAAUAGUUUCUGACCUACCCCAAAGAGAAAGGCAUGUUGUAGCAGCAGACCUCAGGCACGUUCAGCUAAAUGCCCAAUUUGACAUUUGCUUGUUCAUCACUCUGUGAGUAGAACCAACAAGUGACGACAUGUACAUGUGAAAGGGUCAUCACAGAUCAAACAUCACAGUAGAUCUUUCAUCUUGCCCUCAAACACAGUAUUUUAAAAUAGAGGCUGUUGACACCCAUGAGUCAUCAAGUGAUGUACAUGUGGUAAAGAAUAUCUGAACGGUACAAUUUGUGAAUAUUUAGAUGAGGGGCCUUCUAAGCAGUGCCAGAAGAAGAGUCUCCUAGUAAUUCUCUUGAUGACUAUUGGAUUGAGUGCAGUUAUUGCCUCUGGUCUCAGUUAUAUUACAUCCAAAAAUAAACAGUUUGGGUUUCCUUUACAGGAAACAAAAGCUUUUAGAGAACACCUCUGAAACCCUUACAACACCACAUUCAUGUGCAAUUCAGCUGAAAUGAGAAUGUAGGCUACUAUAAAUCUGAACUCUUUUUUUAAUCAGAGAGGUAAAGAAUUAUUCUUUGUAAGGCUAUUCAAAAGUGCCACCUCCUAUAUCUGAGUUGAAAGUUGUGUACCACUGAUACAUUUGAGCUUCCUAUGAAUAAUUGGAUUGCUAUCCAAAAUAUGCUCCAGCACCAUUGUGCCUCUAAAGGUGCUCUUUAAAAGUUCUGGCCAUCUUUGGCUUUCUGCAAAAGGAAGUAACAUGUUAUGCUUCAUGCCCUGAAUCAACUUCACUUUAGAAGGCCUCCUGCAGAGAUUACAUAACAUACAUACACAACUUGAGAGUUUAUGGAAAGCCAGUAAGUCUUUAAGCAUAGAUUACGGGAAUACAAAAGCAGUAAUUCAUUCAUAAAGAGGAAUGAGUCAUCCAUUGUUCAGAGUUAUCUAAAUGUAUUCAGCCAAGGCCAAACGUGCAAUGUUCAUGCUUGGCUUGAAAGACAAAAAAUAUGUCCUUUUUAUUCUUGUGACACUUCCUAACCUCAAUUAUGGUUCCUGAGCAUGCAAAUGAAACUCAACUCAUACAAAGUAAGCUUCAUCAGAAUGGGGAAUGUACACCCCCAUGGUUUUCAAGGACCACAAAGGGUUUGUUAUUUACAACAUUGCAAUUCUGAUUAAAAAGGGGGGUUGGGGGAAUUUUCCACUAAUGGUUACAGGAUGCAUGUAAAUCUGAAAUAUUUUCAGAAGUUUGCAAGUACUUGUCAGAAUCCUGACAAUCCCAUAUUAAUCUCAUGUUUUUGAUAAUCGUGUAUGAGUGACUAGCCCUAAUAUUUGAACUGAGCAGAUUUAAAAUGUGUAUCCUAAAAGAUUAAGGCUGCAAUCCGUUUACUGGGGAAUACGCCCCAUUGGAUUCAAUAGGACUUAUUUCUGAGUAGGCAUGGAUGGGGUUGUGUAAAUUGCUGGUUUAAGGCACUUCAGGUGGUUAAUCUUGAACACAGCUACAAAAAGGCAGCAUUGAUCCAAUUCUGUCUCACCCCUUAGCUAUCCUGUAUUUAGAAAUGGGGUGAGCUCAUAUUAAGGCUGAAAGCUUUCCUGCAGUCUCUUGCUAAGACUAGCCAGCAGAACCCACUGUGGAACCUGCAUGAACAUGAGGUUGCACUGUUGCUCGGGUAUGUUGACUGCUUUACUAUUUCCAGUAGUUGAUCAACAUUUUAAGAAUGCUGCAAGGCUUCCUGAAAUACUCUCUUGCUUCUAGAGCUGAGGAAUAGCUCAGUUGGUACAGCAUGAGACUCUUAAUCUCGGGAUUGUGGGUUUGAGCCCCACACUGGGCAAAAGGUUCCUUCAUUGCAGGGGGUUCAACUAGAUGAUCCUUGUGGUCCCUUCCAACUCUAAAAUUUGGUGAUUCUAAGAUUCUGGGGGAGUAUGGCUGGAUCAGACGUUAGGGAUCUGUGCAGUGGCGUAGCGUGGGUUGUCAGCACCCGGGGCAAGGCAAGUAAUUUGCGCCCCCUAACCCGUGGAUUUGCGCCCCCUAAACCGUGGAUUUGCACACCCUAACCCUAACCCCGGGUUAGGGUUGCGCCUGGUGCGGCCGGCCCCCCCUGCACCCCCCACGCUACGCCACUGGAUCUGUGGAUGCUUCCCAGCCCAGGUGGUAUAAAGGAGAGGGGAAAUCAAGGAGAGAACUUUUCACACCAUUCAUAUGCCGACCAAAACAAUUGGGCAAAUCUUUGGCUCUGGCCUUGUAGGAUAUUUUAUAUUAACACUGAGCAUAUCAGGAGCUUUUAUUGUUAUGGAAUGUGGAGGAACCAGGAAAAGAGGUCACCCUCUGAACUGCUUGCUAACUAGCCUCUCAUGCCCAUUUUCGUGGUUUAUUUUUAGAGGGCUCUAGGAACUGCAUAAUUCAUGUAGCAAAUGGCUUUGACGCACUUCAUAGAAGUCUUCCUAUGCACUAAGCAAAAAUGGUAUUGCAUGUGCAAACAAAUAGUGUUGACAGUCUUCGAGAAAUGGUGGAAAAUGUUUCAGAUAGCUCACGUCAAGUGCUCAAAGCAGUUCAUGCAUAUUAUCUUAGUCAACCUUACAACAGCUUUGUCUACCUAACAAUUGUCAGGUACUAUUGCUAUCCACCAGAGGGCUGUAUUUCUGGUUGAAGUGUGAUUUGAACUGGCCUACACGGCGCACAUUCAAAGCUGCUAUGUUGUAUGGCAAAAUUUGUUGCAGAAUUGGUAAUAAUCCUAGUUCCUGGAGUUCAAUAUUUGGUAAGGGCUUCAUAGAAGUGAUGAAGUCUGAGCAUUAUGAAAUCUUAUCUACCAUACCUUGUGCACUUCCGGUCUGGUGAUUUUCUGUAGGACAAUGAAAUCAGAGAAGGAAAUGUCACUUAGGUUAGUCUGUUUUACAGAAAAUGUUAGCUCAAAGCUUCAGGGCAUAGUCUGAAGGUACACAGAAUCAUAGAGCUGGAAGAUCAACCAAUCCAACCCCCUGCAAUGCAGGAAUGCAGCAAACAUACAGUGGUACCUUGGGUUACAUACGCUUCAGGUUACAUACGCUUCAGGUUACAUACACUUCAGGUUACAGACUCCACUAACCCAGAAAUAGUAUCUUAGGUUAAGAACUUUGCUUGAGGAUGAGAACAGAAAUCGUGCUCCGGCGGCACGGCGGCAGCGGGAGGCCCCAUUAGCUAAAGUGGUGCUUCAGGUUAAGAACAGUUUCAGGUUAAGAACGGACCUCCGGAACGAAUUAAGUACUUAACCCGAGGUACCACUGUACUGAAGUUAAGAUAAUCUGAGGCUGUGUACCCACAUGCACACACACAUUUACUCUGCAGCCAGUGUGCUCCCUCCACUGCUUUUGGAAGCAGUGUACACGUGACAUUAACCAAAAUCCACAUCUAUCCUGUAAUUUGUUAUAAAAUACUGUGUUUUGAUACAUUUCCUCUGAAAACAGCUUCAGUCCAAAUCGAGGGGGGAAAUGACAUAGCUGCAUUUUAAGUUUCCCACUUCCUUGCAGAGAAUGUCACUGGAGGCAUGCCAGGAGCCAGAAGAUUCCACAAGGUGUUGGGAGGCAAUUAGCAUCAAGCUGGGCUCCUGGUGGGCGGGGCACCUGAGUGGACCUAGAAGAAGACUUUGCCCACCCUCUAUUCCCCUGGAGAGGACCUGGGAGAGCUGUGUUGCACUCUGCCAAAAUGUCUUGUCAAGCAUUUAGCUCAUUCAAAACCAGCCAUUUCUUAUUCUGUCUGCACCAAAAUCAGAAUCAUUUUCAAGUUUUAAGCUGUAGGAACACACACACACACACACACCGAUUUCUCAUUAUAAUGGCAACAUGUGAUUCAGCUCAUUCACCUUUAACAACAGGGAAUAAAUACACUUUCAUCUCUUUCUCCACCCUCCCCCUGUCAUGUUAUUUAUUAUUUUAUUUCAUAAUUUUUACACGGCUUGAUUGUAAAAAAACCUCAAAGUGGUUUGCAAAAGGAUUCUUAUUUGUGUACACAGUGCACAUGGCAUUUCACAUAAUUUCCUAAUCAAGACAAGUCUUUAACCCCACCCCAGAUUCUUACAGUCUUGAUUGUACAGAAAAUGACAAGGGAAAAGGAGAGAUCCAAGGGUAAUAAAGGAUUAAUGUGGACAAAUGAAGUCACUGCAAGUACUAGGUUGUCUCUAACCUAUUUAAGCAACUGCCUUGCUAUGAACACAUCAACGUAGUAUCCAUUCUGCUAAAUAAUAUCCAAUAAUAAAUCAUUUUUCUAUGUUGUACACACAAGCAUGAAUAUAGAAAAUGAUUAUACUGAAUAGAAAAUGGUCAUACAGUAAGAUUGCAGCUAUGGUAUAAGAGUAACAGAGAGAGAGAGAGAGAGAGAGAGAGAGAGAGAGAGAGAGCCGUGAUGCUAAUACAGAAUUUGCAGUAAUGCAUUCCCUAUACACUGAUUCUGACUCUGUAAUUUUGUUAUAACAACAUGCAAGUGGUGAUUAACAAGCAUACACUUCAUGAGUCCCUGAUGUUUGAUUGAUUGUCAGCCAGGGUCCAUGGAUUAGCUUAAUCACUCUACUCAUUUAUCAACACUAAGGUGAACAUGCAAUUGUUUGUGUCCUCUGACUUGCUUCUUCAAGCUACAGUUGAAAAUUCCGUUCCAAAAUCCUCAUUCCAAUGCCUAAACAAUUCCCCGAAACCUCUUCACGAAGAUGCUUCAUCUCUGCAACAUUCCCAGGUGUUUCUGCAACUAGCUUCGCCUGUUGCCAUUUUCCUUGGAAAAGAUCCAAGGGCAAGUUGUGGGGUUUGAAAGCUUCCUCUUUUGGCAUGUACUUAAUUGGAAGCCACAGAGAAACAGUGGAGUAUUUUUAAAGCUGGCAUUUUGGAUGCUCUAAAGUCUUUCAUCCUAUAUCAGCAUCAGUCAGG